rnacentral:rRNA from 1 species
CAGGACGAACGCUGGCGGCACGCCUAACACAUGCAAGUCGAACGGAGAUUGAGAGCUUGCUCUUAAAUCUUAGUGGCGGACGGGUGAGUAACACGUGAGCAACCUGCCUCUGAGAGAGGGAUAGCUUCUGGAAACGGAUGGUAAUACCUCAUAACAUUACAUGACCGCAUGAUCGUGUAAUCAAAGAUUUAUCACUCAGAGAUGGGCUCGCGUCUGAUUAGCUAGUUGGUGAGGUAACGGCCCACCAAGGCGACGAUCAGUAGCCGGACUGAGAGGUUGAACGGCCACAUUGGGACUGAGACACGGCCCAGACUCCUACGGGAGGCAGCAGUAGGGAAUUUUGCGCAAUGGGGGAAACCCUGACGCAAGCAACGCCGCGUGAUUGAAUAAGCCCUUCGGGGUGUAAAGAUCUGUCAGUGGGGACGAAACUUGACGGUACCCACAGAGGAAGCAUCGGCUAACUCCGUGCCAGCCGCUGC